CGGCCGGGACGACCCGGCCCGCGGACGCACCACGAGGACGGCCUC
rnacentral:ncRNA from 1 species